GGAAGGGUUCCCGAGCGGCCAAAGGGGGCAGACUGUAAAUCUGUUGCGUUAUCGCUUCGGUGGUCCGAAUCCACCCCCUUCCACCA
rnacentral:tRNA from 1 species